GAUGAACGCUGGCGGCGUGCCUAAUACAUGCAAGUCGAGCGAACAGACGAGGAGCUUGCUCCUCUGACGUUAGCGGCGGACGGGUGAGUAACACGUGGAUAACCUACCUAUAAGACUGGGAUAACUUCGGGAAACCGGAGCUAAUACCGGAUAAUAUAUUGAACCGCAUGGUUCAAUAGUGAAAGACGGUUUUGCUGUCACUUAUAGAUGGAUCCGCGCCGCAUUAGCUAGUUGGUAAGGUAACGGCUUACCAAGGCAACGAUGCGUAGCCGACCUGAGAGGGUGAUCGGCCACACUUGAACUGAGACACGGUCCAGACUCCUACGGCAGGCAGCAGUAGGGAAUCUUCCGCAAUGGGCGAAAGCCUGACGGAGCAACGCCGCGUGAGUGAUGAAGGUCUUCGGAUCGUAAAACUCUGUUAUUAGGGAAGAACAAAUGUGUAAGUAACUAUGCACGUCUUGACGGUACCUGAUCAGAAAACCACGGCUAACUACGUA
rnacentral:rRNA from 1 species